AAAGAGAGUAGACCAGAUGUCAUAUGAUUACAAUAAGUAGAGUCAAGUAAUCAAUGUAGGGUACUUGUUGUAAUAGAUAAGGCAGAAGAAAUAUGAGAUGAAAAAUUAGAAAUACCACUUCCAUCAUCAUUUUGGAACUAACGGAGCUGAGUAAUUACUGCCAAUUCAUAUCAAGUGAGUUGCAUCUGAAUAAAAGAAGAAGACUCAAUAGAGGGAACAGUGUUCGUUACAGCAGUCAUUGGGCGUGAAGAGGAAUUCUGUUUAUUCCAAUCGCGAUUCUGUAGAGUGUGACAUUCUAAGUGCUGAUGAGUAGAUAUCUUAUGAUAAUAACACCACUUCAUAUCAGGAACCAGAGAUGUAGAAUCAGGAAUAACUAGAAUAGUCCGAAAAUAAAUAAAAUCAAGUGGAAAGUAAGAGAGACAACAGUCUUUUUCCUUUUCUCCUUAGAGUUGAUUUAAUUAAGAGGUGUCUCAAGAGAUGGAGUAGGAUGUACGAUUCCUAAAGGCGCCUUAUUUACUCUCCCCAGGAAUGGUUCUUCACUUUCGGCUUCCGAUUGAGAAUAGAUGAACACCCAUCUUCAUACUCAUCAAGUGAACCCAUCAAAAACUGACAGAGACGUUUGUUAUCCUGAGCGGCAUUAUAGCGAGCCAAGCAGGCAUGAACCAUUGCAUUUGUUGUUUUCAAGAAUUAUAAUUAGUAUCAUCUAAAACAAGUUGAAUGGGAUGAAUAUAUCAUAAGAGAAAGAAGAUAUUAAGGUGGAUGUGGAAUGCGUGAAAGUUCAUAGGAGAAGAGCCGAAGCUUACAAAAAGGAAAAAUAAUUGCCCAAAAAAAUUCUGAUACCAAGUUGAAUAAGAAGGAAUUUAUAUUGUAUUGCAAUGAGAUUUACAUUAUACAAUACCCUUAUAUAAAAGUAUAAACAAAAGGAAAAAGGGAUCAAAAUUAGAUACACAAUCACAAUUAUAUUCGAAUCACAGUCAGAUGUACUAAAAUCAAUAGGAUUUUAUUCUAACAGAUCUAAGCCAAUUCAAUUUUGUUGGGUUUAAUAUACAUUUUUCUAUUGAAAAAUUGAAUUUACAAUCAAUUGAAAAUCUGAAUUCAUGGUUUGCACACGC
rnacentral:lncRNA from 1 species